rnacentral:rRNA from 1 species
UACGGAGGGUGCAAGCGUUGUCCGGAUUUAUUGGUUUAAAGGGUGCGUAGGCGGUCUUUUAAGUCAGCGGUGAAAUCCUCCAGCUUAACUGGAGAACUGCCAUUGAUACUGGAAGACUUGAGUACAGACGAGGUGGCGGAAUUGACAGUGUAGCGGUGAAAUGCAUAGAUAUUGUCAAGAACACCGAUUGCGAAGGCAGCUUACUAGUACUGUAACUGACGCUGAGGCACGAAAGUG